AAGCCAUUGCUCUGAUUCAUUGGAUGGUGGUCACUGCUACAGAUUGUAAACAAAGCAAUGGCCCAUUCACAUGUGUACAAACUUAAAAUGACCAAAAGCGUCGAGGCCGUCCCUGUAAUGAACAUUUCUCGAUGUUGUAUUGGAAAGCUCGUGUUCUUUUGCCCGUAGUGUGAGGAUUUUAAGAAAGUGCGGAGGGAAGAUAGUGGAAUUGUAUCCUUGGUUGCAGAUUCUCAAUCGAUUGAUCCCUUCGUGUUGUAGAUCAAUUAAGGUUGACAUCAUGAAGGCCGUGACUCUGGGCUGUUUUUUCAUCAUCAUUUUGAUUGUUGGAACUGUGAUGAGUUCUGAAGAACCAAGUGGACAUGGAAAGAAAGGUAUCAAAAGAAUGAACGAAGCAGCUGGCAACGCCGAUUCAGACUCGGGCUGGUUUGGCUGGAAAGAACGGAUUGCACGCAAGGCAAGAGAUAAUAGGCAGUCUUGUCCCUGCUUGAGAGUGUGUGGCACCUGCUACUGUUGUAUUGCAUAAAGGCAGCCAUAGAUUCUCUACAGUCAGAGAUGCGGUAUCAUUUGGAUGGGCUGAGUUUACUUUAUGAGGAGGAACAGAAAUUUGGAGGGACUUUAUAGUUUUUAUUAAUCAAGUUUAGGCCUCAAAAAAGUAAAUAGUCGGCCUCUGGUCAGCGCGCGCAUCGAUUUUGAACGCGCGGGUCAAUUUCUUCCUUUAUUUCUUAAACUUUUCGAAACAGCUAGGCCUAUUCUCUAUUUCUGCACCAACUGAAUGUUUGCAAGUAGACUGAUUCCCGGCCACAAGUCCGCAAGUCCGAAGGGCAGUUUGUUCAAGGAACCAGACUAAUUCGUGGGUAUCUCGUACCCAGUGAUAGAUCCAUUACGACUGCGUAACGCUGAAGUCGAAUACAAACAGUAGACCACAGGUAGGUUACAAAGUUGCAGCCAGCUGAUCAGCAACAAUGGCGGCAUGACGUGCAACGUGCUACCACUAGCCUGUGCUCUUUGAUUAAAUAUGUCACUCAUUUCCGUGUGCGUUGCCAGCCUUAAAAAGCCAUCCUUCACCCCCGGGAAACAAAACAAAACAAAAACGCAUGGGGCUUAUAGUCUAGCGCAGUGAACCAGUUCGGUAUUUGAACGUACAGCGGAUGACCGAAAUAAAGCACGUUGUGGUCGACCAGAAGCCAGCAAUACCGCACUUAAUUAAGGGCCCACAUAAUCCGCCGUUGAUUCUGAUUCACCAGCGCUGAACAUGUUCACCCUCGCGUACUUCGUUCUCAAAUGAUUUUGUUUCGAACAACCGAAAUGGCUCAUUAUAGCAUUUUGCUUAAAAGCUUCUGAGUUAGUUUUAUCUGCCGUGAACCUGAUGGGGUAAACAAGCGAGAAGCAUAAAAACGGAACUGAAGAAACAAAACCCAACAAUUCAAAACAAAAGCAAGAAUGAUAGAAAAGCUUGGGCGUAAAUCGUGAUUCGGGGUCUUUUUAAUGCUUAGUUUGGUUUCCCUAUCAAACCUCUGCCUGAGCACCAUCAGUUAUUGUGCUUCCUGAAAGCAUGUCUUGCUCUGUAUUUUGCUCUGUUUGGGUAUAAAUAUCGAAGAUAAACCAAUUCUGAUAUAGACACAAUGUGUCAAACAAUUAACGUAUCGUUUCUUACGUUAGGAAAUCAGGACCAAAACAUGAUCAAUUUCUUUGAAGAAGAUCGCUCUCCCUGAAUCGUGAAUUGUGGCCAGAUGCACACUAGUCUGAACUGAUUGCAAAACAAACCCUGUUGGUGUCUGGCGUAAAAAGCUACAUGUAUUAUUUGAACUUGUUGACAUUCAACCGGAUGCCCCCAGUGUGCAUUAUCAAUAAUCAAAAACAAUUGGGCAUUUUCUUUGUAUGAGGACUACAUGUUCUUCGCGGUAAUUUUCAGUUAUUUUCCAUUUAUUUCAAGUUGGUAGCUGGGCCCACCAUUACCUGUUGCAGUAGAAUCUUUGUAUUACUGUAGUACUUGUUUAUGACCUAAUUAAAAGAUGGA
rnacentral:lncRNA from 1 species